GUGAGGAAUAUUGGUCAAUGGGCGAGAGCCUGAACCAGCCAAGUCGCGUGAAGGAAGACGGCCCUACGGGUUGUAAACUUCUUUUGCAAUGGAAUAAAAAGAGUUACGUGUAAUUCAUUGUAUGUACAUUGCGAAUAAGGAUCGGCUAACUCCGUGCCAGCAGCCGCGGUAAUACGGAGGAUCCGAGCGUUAUCCGGAUUUAUUGGGUUUAAAGGGUGCGUAGGCGGAUUGGAAAGUCAGCGGUGAAAGUUUGCAGCUUAACUGUAAAAUUGCCAUUGAAACUGUCAGUCUUGAGUGCAAAUGAGGUAGGCGGAAUGUGUUGUGUAGCGGUGAAAUGCAUAGAUAUAACACAGAACACCAAUUGCGAAGGCAGCUUACUGAGAUGCAACUGACGCUGAGGCACGAAAGCGUGGGGAUCAAACAGGAUUAGAUACCCUAGUAGUCC
rnacentral:rRNA from 1 species